ACGGCAGCACGGACUUCGGUCUGGUGGCGAGUGGCGAACGGGUGAGUAAUGUAUCGGAACGUGCCUAGUAGCGGGGGAUAACUACGCGAAAGCGUAGCUAAUACCGCAUACGCCCUACGGGGGAAAGCAGGGGAUCGCAAGACCUUGCACUAUUAGAGCGGCCGAUAUCGGAUUAGCUAGUUGGUGGGGUAACGGCUCACCAAGGCGACGAUCCGUAGCUGGUUUGAGAGGACGACCAGCCACACUGGGACUGAGACACGGCCCAGACUCCUACGGGAGGCAGCAGUGGGGAAUUUUGGACAAUGGGGGAAACCCUGAUCCAGCCAUCCCGCGUGUGCGAUGAAGGCCUUCGGGUUGUAAAGCACUUUUGGCAGGAAAGAAACGUCAUGGGCUAAUACCCCGUGAAACUGACGGUACCUG
rnacentral:rRNA from 1 species